AGUUCUUCCCCCCAACCCAGAGGAAGCGGGAGAGCAGUUUACGACAGCGCCGGUCGUGUUUACGGCGGCGCCCGCUGCGCGCGCAUCUUCCCUCUUUUCCUGGUUUCUGAGAGUGCUACUGCUAACGCGGUGCCCGGCCCGCACCAUCUGUUGCCAUCCCGGCCGGCCGAGGCCGUUACAGACAGCGUCUCAUUUUGUCACCCAUGCUGGAGUGCAGUGGCAUGCAACCUCCGCCUCCCGGGUUCAAGCGAUUCUCCUGCCUCAGCCUCCCGAGUAGCUGGGAUUACAGGCCAUCUGUCUGGCUAUUAAAAUCCCAUCAGCUUCAUUGCGAGAACGCUUACUUCCCCCACGCCUGCCAUCCCAAAGGGGGCUCUUACAGCCAACUAGCUCAUGAUCGCUCCGGGCCCUCCAAAGGGCACGAGAGAAGAUGAAGGGGAAAGGAGCGAACUCCAGAGUCUUAGAGAGGCAGUACGAUGGGUUCUCGCACCAACCAGCACUUUCUGUGUGGAGUCUCACCUCUUGUAACCCUGAGUGCAAAAAUACCAGGAACAAGCUGACUUCCCACCUGGCAGAACAGAAUGCUAAACAGGCCGACCUCUUUAGGAAUCUGGUGAAAGCUACAAACCCUCUCUCUAGAAAAGCACACACAAACAUAACAUUUUGCAAUUCACUUUCAAGAGCCCCAGGUUCCCAUAAAGAGACUCAAGAACCUUGAUAGUAGAGAGCAAGUUCUUCAAGGGCCAGGCCCAUAUCCUAGUCCUCCUUCCUUCCUUCCUCCUCCACCUCCUCAGUCCCUCCCUUGAAUGCUUCCCGAUUCUAUUCCAAAAUGCUCAGACAAGUCUAGACCACAGCCUUGCACUGCAUCUCUCCUAGGGAGGAUGGUGUGACCACAGAGACCCUGGGCCCACCUGGGGGAGCCCUGAGUUCCCCUGGGUAAAGGCAUCACUCACCACACU